CACGUAGGGGGCAAGCGUUGUCCGGAUUUAUUGGGCGUAAAGAGCUCGUAGGUGGUUCGGUAAGUCAGGUGUGAAACCUCCAGGCUCCAACCUGGAGACGCCACUUGAUACUGCUGUGACUGGAGUCCGGUAGGGGAGCGUGGAAUUCCUGGUGUAGCGGUGAAAUGCGCAGAUAUCAGGAGGAACACCAGCGGCGAAGGCGGCGCUCUGGGCCGGUACUGACACUGAGGAGCGAAAGCGUGGGUAGCAAA
rnacentral:rRNA from 1 species